rnacentral:tRNA from 1 species
UGCCCGAGUGGCUAAAGGGGGCAGACUGUAAAUCUGCUGGCUAACGCCUACGCUGGUUCGAAUCCAGCCCUGCCCACCA